rnacentral:tRNA from 1 species
UUCUUUAGCGCAGUAGUUAGCGCAUCAGUCUCGCAAGCUGAAGGUCGGGAGUUCGAUCCUCGGAAGGA